CACAUGAAAGCACCAGUUCUCAUUCAAUCACUGAAGUUAAGCAAUGGUAAGCCUAGUCAGUACUUAAAUGGGUGACCACUUGGGAAUAU